CUGCCCCGGGCUGCCUUGGUAAGCCCAGGUGCAUUACAGCCUCUUUACCACGGGCCUGCAGGAAUUUUGUUCUGCUUUCCUCCCCCGUUCAUUCUAAAGCCUUGUAUGCUCCCAAGGGCAGACUAACAGGUCUGUAAUUGCCCGGGUCGCUUUGCGUCCCUUUCUUAAAUACCUGCACAGCAUCAGCUGUUCUCCAGGCACAUGGUCCCACCCCCACUAGCUGGAUUUCUUACCAUGCCUUGCUCCCGGGUUCCCGGACUCGCAGCCUCCUGCGCUGGUUCUCUCAGUACUCUGGGACAGCAAUGACCCAGUGCCCCGGAGCUGAGCGCAUUAAACCCUGCAAGAUUUUCUUCCACCACAGCUGUCGGAAUUUCCUUUUGUGUCGCCAUCCAGUCUCGUCUACAUGGUCCCUGUUACUGUCCGGAUUGAAAACCCAGCCACGAUGUUCAUAACUAGUGUCUUUAAUCUCUUUCCCAGCCCCACCGCAGGGUGGCCCAGCCUCAUCCUUCCUUAUUCCUUUAUUAUUGAGGAGACUAAAAAACCCUAUUAUUGUGUGUGAAUUUCCUUGGCAAGAGCUAAUUCAGCUUCACUUCCAGCAGUCCUCCCUUUAUCCCUACUCUUCCCAACACCCACAGUGUACCUUUCCUUGCUGAUCGACCCACUUUUUCACUCCCCAGAGACUCUUUGCUGACUCCCAACAACCGUGUGAGGUGGGCCUGGAACCCUUCCCUACAAGCUUCUUCCCAUUACUGGGAAUGCCAGUUACAGAUGGCUUUGUAGAGUGACUGGAAGAAAUUCCAAGCUGCUGCUUCAUUUAUUUCUUUGGGCUCUUCAGUCCAGCUGACUUCACUAACAAACUCCCUUCGUUUCCCAUAGUCUGUCUUUCAGAAAUUGAAAAUCAGAGUUGACGGCCUGGUUUUGAUUCGGUUUAAAUUAAAUGGAAAGAUCUUCAGCAUAUGACCACUCGAUCCGAGGUUCUUUUUCUGUGAGCAGCUCUUCUCUGAUGCCCUCGCUGCUUACCAAAAUGGAGUGCAAAAUUACAUCACCUCUUGUUGGUUCAGUGACGAUUUGAUGUAGAAAUCUGUCAUCUAUCACAUCCAGGAAUAAGUAGGACCUACCAGUGUUAAGAACAUGAGAACGGCCUGACUGGAUCAGACCUAUGGUCCGUCUAGCCCAGGGUCCGGUCCCUGGCAGAGCCCAGACCAGUUCCACCCCUGAGUGCGAUCCCACCAUGGUUCUGUAAUUCCCA